CCUACGGGCGGCAGCAGUGAGGAAUAUUGGUCAAUGGCCGGAAGGCUGAACCAGCCAUGCCGCGUGAAGGUCAGUGCCCUAUGGGCGUUAAACUUCUUUUGUGCGGGAGCAAUAAUGGUCACGUGUGGCCAGACGAGAGUACCGUACGCAUACGCAUCGGCUAACUCCGUGCCAGCAGCCGCGGUAAGACGGGGGAUGCAAGCGUUAUCCGGAUUUAUUGGGUUUAAAGGGUGCGUAGGCUGGGAGGUAAGUCAGCGGUGAAAUGCCCCCGCUCAACGGGGUGAAGUGCCAUUGAUACUGCCUGGCUGGAAUGCGGAUGCCGUGGGAGGAAUGUGUGGUGUAGCGGUGAAAUGCAUAGAUAUCACACAGAACACCGAUUGCGAAGGCAUCUCACGAAUCCGCGAUUGACGCUGAUGCACGAAAGCGUGGGUAUCAAACAGGAUUAGAUACCCGAGUAGUC
rnacentral:rRNA from 1 species